GACGAACGCUGGCGGCGUGCCUAAUACAUGCGAGUUGAGCGAUGAAGAUUGGUGCUUGCACCAAUUUGAAGAGCAGCGAACGGGUGAGUAACGCGUGGGGAAUCUGCCUUUGAGCGGGGGACAACAUUUGGAAACGAAUGCUAAUACCGCAUAACAACUUUAAACAUAAGUUUUAAGUUUGAAAGAUGCAAUUGCAUCACUCAAAGAUGAUCCCGCGUUGUAUUAGCUAGUUGGUGAGGUAAAGGCUCACCAAGGCGAUGAUACAUAGCCGACCUGAGAGGGUGAUCGGCCACAUUGGGACUGAGACACGGCCCAAACUCCUACGGGAGGCAGCAGUAGGGAAUCUUCGGCAAUGGACGAAAGUCUGACCGAGCAACGCCGCGUGAGUGAAGAAGGUUGUCGGAUCGUAAAACUCUGUUGGUAGAGAAGAACGUUGGUGAGAGUGGAAAGCUCAUCAAGUGACGGUAACUACCCAGAAAGGGACGGCUAACUACGUG
rnacentral:rRNA from 1 species